rnacentral:rRNA from 1 species
AUUGAACGCUGGCGGCAUGCUUUACACAUGCAAGUCGAACGGUAACAGGCCGCAAGGUGCUGACGAGUGGCGAACGGGUGAGUAAUGCAUCGGAACGUGCCCAGUCGUGGGGGAUAACGCAGCGAAAGCUGUGCUAAUACCGCAUACGAUCUGUGGAUGAAAGCGGGGGACCGUAAGGCCUCGCGCGAUUGGAGCGGCCGAUGUCAGAUUAGGUAGUUGGUGGGGUAAAGGCUCACCAAGCCGACGAUCUGUAGCUGGUCUGAGAGGACGACCAGCCACACUGGGACUGAGACGCGGCCCAGACUCCUACGGGAGGCAGCAGUGGGGAAUUUUGGACAAUGGGCGCAAGCCUGAUCCAGCAAUGCCGCGUGCAGGAAGAAGGCCUUCGGGUUGUAAACUGCUUUUGUACGGAGCGAAAAGGCUCCCUCUAAUACAGGGGGCUCAUGACGGUACCGUAAGAAUAAGCACCGGCUAACUACGUGCCAGCCGCCGCGGUAAUAC